UCUGAACUUUUAAGAAUUAGCUCACUUUAGAUAUGCCAUGUCAAAGAAUUGGGGAUAGAGAAUAAAAAGACUCAGCAAAGAUUUAACAUUGUUGUUUUUAACAUGCUGCUGUCCACAAAACAUGCAUUUUAAUCUUUCUUUUAAAUUUUAAUCUCUUCUCAUCAGGAAUUAACUUAUUCUCCUUGACUUGAAGUCAUCUGAGGGUCCCACUCUUGCUAUCUAUUUCUGUAUCCUUGGGUACUUCCAGAGUUUUGACUACUUGAGUGAAUCUAUCAUGGUCAUAUAAUCUGUUCCUCUGAAGAGAAGUUCUCCUAGUUGCUGUGGAAGAGAUAUUUAAGCAGGGAAAAUGAAAUUUAAAUUGCAAAUUUGAACUAUCAGAAACAAACACCUAAAAUUCUUUUAACAGCUAGCAAUUUCUAGGAUAUGAUAGAGUUAUUAAGUACAUAUAAUGGGCUCAACACUGUGCUAAGGCUUGGGAAUAAAAACAA